UGAUUCAUAGCUUAGUUGGUAAAGAAUCUGCCUGCAAUGUAGGAGACCCAGGUUUGAUUCCUGGGUCAG
rfam:Ovis aries breed Texel chromosome 12, whole genome shotgun sequence.